rnacentral:rRNA from 1 species
CCCUUAGAGUUUGAUCCUGGCUCAGAUUGAACGCUGGCGGCAGGCCUAACACAUGCAAGUCGAGCGGUAGAGAGAAGCUUGCUUCUCUUGAGAGCAGCGGACGGGUGAGUAAUGCCUAGGAAUCUGCCUGGUAGUGGGGGAUAACGUUCGGAAACGGACGCUAAUACCGCAUACGUCCUACGGGAGAAAGCAGGGGACCUUCGGGCCUUGCGCUAUCAGAUGAGCCUAGGUCGGAUUAGCUAGUUGGUGAGGUAAUGGCUCACCAAGGCGACGAUCCGUAACUGGUCUGAGAGGAUGAUCAGUCACACUGGAACUGAGACACGGUCCAGACUCCUACGGGAGGCAGCAGUGGGGAAUAUUGGACAAUGGGCGAAAGCCUGAUCCAGCCAUGCCGCGUGUGUGAAGAAGGUCUUCGGAUUGUAAAGCACUUUAAGUUGGGAGGAAGGGUUGUAGAUUAAUACUCUGCAAUUUUGACGUUACCGACAGAAUAAGCACCGGCUAACUCUGUGCCAGCAGCCGCGGUAAUACAGAGGGUGCAAGCGUUAAUCGGAAUUACUGGGCGUAAAGCGCGCGUAGGUGGUUUGUUAAGUUGGAUGUGAAAUCCCCGGGCUCAACCUGGGAACUGCAUUCAAAACUGACUGACUAGAGUAUGGUAGAGGGUGGUGGAAUUUCCUGUGUAGCGGUGAAAUGCGUAGAUAUAGGAAGGAACACCAGUGGCGAAGCGACCACCUGGACUAAUACUGACACUGAGUGCGAAAGCGUGGGGAGCAACAGAUAGAUACCCUGGUAGUCCACGCCGUAAACGAUGUCACUAGCCGUUGGAAGCCUUGAGCUUUUAGUGGCGCAGCUACGCAU